GUCUUCGUGGCGCAGUUGGCUAGCGCGUCAGUCUCGUCAUCUGAAGGUCGUGAGUUCGAGCCUCACCGAGGACA